rnacentral:lncRNA from 1 species
UCCGGGGCUCAGCCUUUUAGAUUCAUUGUAUGCAGUAUCGGACGUCUCUUCUUGUCCGGUGGUUUCCAUGGACGCAGCUGUCACGUUCGCCGUGGGGCCUGCAGCAGUGUUUUUCGACGCCUCCUGAUGCACCAAACGAGACGCUACGUCCAGAAUACAGGAGGACGAGAUCAGGAUGAUGCAUAACCAAAAGAUUGGCUUCAGUGUCCCUCUUAUUUCCUUCUGCUACUUCCAACUU